rnacentral:rRNA from 1 species
GGGGGGGGGGGGGGGGGGGGGGGGGGGGGGGGGGGCGGGCGAGGCCUUCGGGUCUGGUGGCGCACGGGUGCGUAACGCGUGGGAACCUGCCCUUAGGUUGGGAAUAACUCCCCGAAAGGGGUGCUAAUACCGGAUCAUGUCUUCGGACCAAAGAUUUAUCGCCUUUGGAUGGGCCCGCGUUGGAUUAGCUAGUUGGUAGGGUAAAAGCCUACCAAGGCGACGAUCCAUAGCUGGUCUGAGAGGAUGAUCAGCCACACUGGGACUGAGACACGGCCCAGACUCCUACGGGAGGCAGCAGUGGGGAAUAUUGGACAAUGGGCGAAAGCCUGAUCCAGCAAUGCCGCGUGAGUGAUGAAGGCCUUAGGGUUGUAAAGCUCUUUUACCCGGGAUGAUAAUGACAGUACCGGGAGAAUAAGCUCCGGCUAACUCCGUG